AUGGCUAAACAUCAUCCUGAUUUGAUCUUUUGCCGCAAGCAGGCUGGUGUUGCCAUCAGAUGACUGUGUGAAAAAUGUGAUGGCAAAUGUGUUAUCUGUGACUCCUAUGUGCGUCCCUGCACUCUGGUGUGCAUAUGUGAUGAAUGUAACUAUGGAUCUUACCGGGGCUCUGUGUGAUCUGUGGAGGCCCUGGGGUCUCUGAUGCCUAUUAUUGUAAGGAGUGCACCAUCCAGGAGAAGAAUAGGGAUGGCUGCCUGAAGAUUGUCUAUUUGGGGAGCUCUAAGACCUCUUCUAUGAACGCAAAAAAUACGGCUUCAAGAAGAGG
rnacentral:lncRNA from 1 species